CAAUUUUUCAAAAUCUAAAAAUUUUACAAAUUUCAUUCAAAAUUUAUCACUAAUCGUGGUCAUUAUUUCAAGUUCUCUCAAAGGAUGAACCCUAAAGGGUUUCUUCUCCUUCAUUGCCGCACCUUCUUCAGAGAUAUACGAACCCUUUCGAGCUCUCACUGACAUACAAAGUCUCGCUCACUCUCAGUUCAGCGCCUCCCCUUGCCUCCACUCUCGUUCACUCUCAACUUAGUCCCUUCUCACCAUCACUCUCCAUCGCCGGCAGUCCAUGCCACCGUCUCGCCAUGAGUCCCUUUCGUAAUCUCUCCCUUUGGCUCUCAUUCGCUCUCGCUUGCUUCUGUCCAUAAGUCCCCCUCGGCGUCACUCCAUCUGUCCAUCUGGUAAUAGCUUCUCUCAUGGUUCAUUCAUAAAACCCUAAAAUUGGAAGAUCAGAAAACCCUAAUUUAAGAUAUUUUCGAUGAAAUGUUUUUUUUUUCUCAUUAUGUUUUUGUUGGAGUUUUCUUUAAAACCGUGGAAAAUAGGGUAAUGUGAGUAAAGCCCAUGAAAAAUUUACUCACUCACACUCGUCAAUGGUGAGGCUUAGGACGGGCAUUGAUUCGGCGUUCUGGGACCUCAACGUGGCCUCGCCGUAGUGCCACGACGGUUGGGCCAAGUCCGUUCCCGGAGACCCUUUUUCGGUGGAAGCCUCCGUUGCCAGCAAAGUGCUCCGCCCACAACAAUUUUCCUUCCUCUGAAACGAGCUCCCUUUUCCCAUUGUCGCUCCCUUGCUCUCUCCCACUUUCCCCCAAGGGUUUGGGCUCCUUCGGUCUCCAGGACCUUCUCCUCAAACUCUCCUCUUCUCGUUGGUACCUAACUUUUUCACUCUCAAACAACUUGCUUUCGCUACUCUUUUGUGAUUUGGUUGAUGUUGAUGGCAAAUGGGGUCUCCAGCUUUUGAUUGACAGUUCUUGUUAUUGAUAUGUUAAGGUUAUAUUCGUUGGGGAACUUUUUAUUUGGAAAAGUCUUUUAUCUGGCAUGUUCCAGAAUUUCAUUCGCGUGCAUUGAUUUCCAAUUACCUGGUUGUUGUAUCAAGAGUAUGAUACGGAGGAACAUGGUGAAAACCUUGUGAGUUUACNGGUCAAAGUUUGGUGGGCCAAGGAUCAUGAGUAAGUACUUGGCAUGUCUUGACAUUUUCAUAUGUUGUCACUGUCAGUGUAAAUUGUUUUAAGAAGCAGUAAGAAAGUGGUUCAUAUGGUUUUACAUUUCCUUUUAAAUUUAAUAUGUACUUUGGAUUGCAACUUAAGGAGUUUUAGCUGCAUUCCUUACUACAUGUCCUUCGGUCACCAGUAACUUUGCAUUGGUAGACUCAUGUGAAGCAAGAGUUUCAAAUNAAUUNNGGCAUGGAUUUUGUGUUUGUUUGGUCAAUUCUACAUUAGUUCCAUUAUAUCUUUAUUCGAGUCUAAAAUCACUUCAUNGUCUCUUUUUCAAUCAAUUAAAUUUCUACUCCCAAUAAACAAAUUAGUUUCUUCUCCAAGGGUUUGCUUAUCAAAUUUUGAUCCUACAACUGCAUUAUUGACGACAGACUUACCUUGAACCAGUUAAAGUUUAUCAACAAUUGGUGGUUUCACUUGGCUAAUAAUUUUCAUUUUCUGAUGAGGAGCUUUUGCGCUUGACAGCAUCUCACUGCGAAUUUUCUCCAAGUCAUCAUCAAUCAUAUAUAUUAGCAUCAAAAGUCUCUUGUUUCCUUAGCAUUUGACACGUAGUACAUAUAACUAUAAUGUAUCUAAUUUGAUUCAUGUUACAUAACUAGUUGGUUUUGAUGCAGGAAAAACUAGAAAUAGUUAAGAAGGAUUGUGAAGCAAUUAGUGCUGUUAAAGGAUUUUUAGGUGAUUUGCAAAAAUAAUCUUGAUACGUGACUCCAAGUUAUGCAUAUUUUAUAGAACACUCAAAGCCUAAAUACAAAGUUCUUUACCUAGCAGAGGGUUUAAUAGCAGUGGUUACAAGUAAUUGAGGUACUUUUAUUUGAAUAUGUACUACUUCUCUAGUAAGUUUAAUUAGGGAGCAUUUCAUUUCAAUCUUAAUCAUAUGGAUAUUGAAGUAUGUACCUUUACUUGUUCAUUGUGCUGCUUUUCAUUAUUCUAACCUUUACUUGUUCAUUAUGCCAACUAUAGUUUAUGGCAACUUGAUUUUCAUUUAGCUUUUAAGUUGUUGUAGGUCUAACUCUCUGUUGCUAUUUGAUGGAUGUUAACUACUAAGUUUAGGCCUCUUAUCUCUUCUCUUAUAUACUAGUUGAAUCAUGAAAUUAUUGUCUUAGGAGUCAUGAUUGUAGGUUUUUGUUAUUCUAACUACAUUAUUUAUAUGUGAACUUUUCUUUGUACCCUUGUAUAUACAUUGUAUACUCUAAUGAUGUAUUAAUUUCCUUUACAAAGAACUACACAACUUUCCUACUAAAUAUUUUUUUUUCUAUGAGGAAAACACAUAAUUCAUGAAUAAUCACAACUUUGAGGUAAUAAAUAAGUGUGAAAACAAGUAUUUUUCACACUUAUCAACUUUCCCAAACUUCAAUUAUUUCAUGUCCUCAUGAAAACACAACCCAACAUAAUUGACAACUGAAAAUUUUAAACAAUAACUUUGCACACCAGAAAAAGUUACAUGCUGAUAUUUCUUAAAAUAGUUUUUUAAUACAUUUUUUUCCUGCAAAUUUAUUGGUCCUUGGAUAACUAUGCUUGACUGUUCU